AAGGGCACCACAAGAACGCGUGGAGCAUGUGGCUUAAUUUGACUCAACACGGGAAAUCUUACCGGGUCCGGACACACUGAGGAUUGACAGGCAAUAUGUUAAAAUACUACGGUAUUUUAGUUGUUAAAUAUGCUAGUCCUUUCAUGAUUAUGUGAUAGGUGGUGCAUGGCCGUUCUUAGUUCGUGGAGUGAUCUGUCUGCUUAAUUGCGUUUCACCAAAGGUUCUAUAUAUAACGGUAUCAAGAGUUUUGACCCUUUAUUGCGCGUCUUUUCUCUUAUCACCGUUUAGAAACCUUGAAAGCAACGAACGUGACCGCAACCUCUUGUUGCCUUUAUGAUACCAACUUUUUGUUUAUACUCUCACGGGUGAAACAAUGCUAAAAGGCUUUUUAAACUAGAGGGACCGCUGUUACUUUCUUAAACCAGAGGAAGGUUGCGGCAAUAACAGGUCUGUGAUGCCCUUAGAUGUUCCGGGCUGCACACGUGCUACAAUGAUUAUUGCAGUGAGCAUCUCAUUUGAUUUUACACCGCUCAGUGCGUAAAUUGUAACUCACGUUACUUUUUAUUGCACGCGGUACAGCCUACUUCGACAGUAAGUGGGUAAUCAAUUAGAAGUAAUGAUUUCUCUUAUACAGCACACAUAUAUACGGCAUUUUAUUAUCUUUACGUGCACAAUUUAUUUUGUGUGUGUAAAUGUGUAGUUUAAUGAAACUCUCGCGAGUUUAUACCGUAUGUGCAAUUGUCAAUUCAUGGUGGGGACAGACCAUUGUUAAUUGUUGGUCUCGGUCUUAACUAGGAAUGCCUUGUACGGGUCUUUGGUUCAACAAACCACCCGGAAUACGUCCCUGCCCUUUGUACACACCGCCCGUC
rnacentral:rRNA from 1 species